CUCACUAUUCAAAUAGAGUCAUC
rnacentral:snRNA from 1 species